rnacentral:rRNA from 1 species
CGCAGGCUGCAACCCGCCUGCGUGAAGUCGGAAUCGCUAGUAAUCGCGGAUCAGCAUGCCGCGGUGAAUACGUUCCCGGGCCUUGUACACACCGCCCGUCACACCAUGAGAGUCGGGAACACCCGAAGUCCGUAGCCUAACCGCAAGGAGGGCGCGGCCGAAGGUGGGUUCGAUAAUUGGGGUGAAGUCGUAACAAGGUACC